AUACGGUAAUGGAGUGGAUUUGUAACAUUUUUUAUUUUCAUGUGUAUUUUUCAAAACUUCACAAGUAAUGGAUUAGCAAUUGAAAUAUGGGUGCGAAUAUCUCUCAACUAGAAAGAGAUAUUGGAUCUGAACAGUUUCCUUCAAAUGAACACUACUUUGGAUUAGUAAAUUUUGGAAAUACCUGUUACAGUAAUUCUGUACUUCAGGCUUUAUAUUUUUGCAAACCUUUUCGAGAUAAAGUUCUCGAAUAUAAAGCAAAAAAUAAGAGAAAUAAAGAAACUCUUCUAACAUGUUUGGCAGACUUAUUUUACAGUAUUGCUACACAGAAAAAGAAAGUAGGUUCUAUUGCUCCAAAAAAAUUUAUAGCAAGGCUGCGAAAAGA